rnacentral:rRNA from 1 species
GACGAACGCUGGCGGCGUGCUUAACACAUGCAAGUCGAACGGAAAGGCCCUGCUUUUGUGGGGUGCUCGAGUGGCGAACGGGUGAGUAACACGUGAGUAACCUGCCCUUGACUUUGUGAUAACUUCAGGAAACUGGGGCUAAUACCGGAUAUGAGCUCCUGCUGCAUGGUGGGGGUUGGAAAGUUUCGGCGGUUGGGGAUGGACUCGCGGCUUAUCAGCUUGUUGGUGGGGUAGUGGCUUACCAAGGCUUUGACGGGUAGCCGGCCUGGGAGGGUGACCGGCCACAUUGGGACUGAGAUACGGCCCAGAAUGCUACGGGACGCAGCAGUGGGGAAUAUUGCACAAUGGGCGGAAGCGUGAUGCAGCAACGCCGCGUGCGGGAUGACGGCCUUCGAGGUGUAAACAGAUUUCGCAUGUGACGAAGAGUGAGUGACGGUAAUGGGUAAAGAAGCACCGGCUAACUACGUG